rnacentral:rRNA from 1 species
CCUCCUUUCUUCCUCCUUUCUGCCUCUUGGUCCAUGGGCGCGCGCCUGCACCAGCCAAGUAGCGUGAAGGAUGACUGCCCUACGGGUUGUAAACUUCUUUUAUAAAGGAAUAAAGUGAGGCACGUGUGCCUUUUUGUAUGUACUUUAUGAAUAAGGAUCGGCUAACUCCGUGCCAGCAGCCGCGGUAAUACGGAGGAUCCGAGCGUUAUCCGGAUUUAUUGGGUUUAAAGGGAGCGUAGAUGGGUUGUUAAGUCAGUUGUGAAAGUUUGCGGCUCAACCGUAAAAUUGCAAUUGAUACUGGCAGUCUUGAGUACAGUUGAGGUAGGCGGAAUUCGUGGUGUAGCGGUGAAAUGCUUAGAUAUCACGAAGAACUCCGAUUGCGAAGGCAGCUUACUAAACUGCCACUGACAUUGAUGCUCGAAAGUGUGGGUAUCAAACAGGAUUAGAUACCCCGGUAGUC